rnacentral:rRNA from 1 species
UACGUAGGCAGCAAGCGUUGUUCGGAAUUACUGGGCGUAAAGCGCGCGUAGGCGGCUGGAUAAGUCGAUUGUGAAAGCCUUGGGCUCAACCUGAGAAUUGCAGUCGAGACUGUUCGGCUAGAGUGUGGGAGAGGGUGGUGGAAUUCCCGGUGUAGCGGUGAAAUGCGUAGAUAUCGGGAGGAACAUCAGUGGAGAAGGCGACCACCUAGAUCUACACUGACGCUGAGGUGCGAAAGCGUGGGUAGCAAACAGG